GAGUGAAGAGGUGCCAGAAUCCGCGAAGAGGGUCGACGAAUGCGCUGCCGCGGAGGUGGGCCAAAUAAUCAUGGCAACAGGACUUUUAGAAGCACGUCCUCUGAAAGCCAUUUUCUGCCUGUGGUUGGAAAGGGACUGUGAGUCUUUCCUCAGGAAGUCAGUAGCCCUACCUGGUGAGGUGAUCAAGAGUUUGCUAGCACAAGAGAUGAAGGGCACAUGAUCAUUAUCUCAGUCCUUGGGAGUCAGUUUAUGAAAUCUUGAGUCACACUUGGACCAUUAUAAAAGCACAGAGACAGCAACAAUGGCCAUGAGGGAUUCAAGGAUUAUGCGUCUCUGCACCCUACAAUACACCAACUGGCAGUUCCAUCAUUUGAAAGAAAAUCUUCAAGGUAAAGACAUUUACAAUGACACAAAAACCUUUCAAAGGCAUCAUGGUCCUAAAGGGCUUUCCCCAAGGGACAGCACAGUGUGUUCCAGGCCCUGACAAGAGGUGAGUGUGUGGGCACGGGUGUCUCGUGAGCCUGACGCUCUCCAUCCCUCUCUGACCAUUUAUGCCUUUGUCUGUCUGUGCUUUCAAAGGUCAGACCCUUGUGAGAAAUACUUGCUCUAUUAAUCAUCUUGGAAGACUGCUCCAGACACAUUUUCAGAAGGGAUGCAGUAAGUUUUGUCUGCACAGUGCACCCUGGGAAAAGAGUUUCCCUUCUGAAAAGCAAUCUUGCUUUCAGCCAAGUCUUGUCUUUUCCUUUUUUUUUUUGUAAAGCAAUGAAGUUAUUGCAUGUUCCAAAGGCAUCGUGAGGUACGGCCACCCCUUUGGCAUGGCAUGUCUGUAUGCCCAGGAUGCAUAUACCCAAUUAGUGAGUUCCACAUGACUGCUGGUGUUGGCAAACAUCUACAUCCAGCUGGUGCUCAGACUUUUGGGGAUCAGUGGAAAUUUUAACAAUUAUUUGACACAGACUUAUUCGGUCAGAGAAACGGUUGUAUCACAGAGAGCUAAAUGUCCAGAGCUAAUGAAAGAUGAUGCAGUGAUUAGAUUGACUUGCAAUCUGGGUAAUAAUUUUUAUACUUGCAUUUUGACCACAUAAAUAAAAGAAUGGGACUGAUUUUCCGACUGCAUUGCAUAUGAAGGGAGGAGAACGUUAUUCUCUCUUCCCUCUUCAUCUGAAUAUUAGAACUUUUUAAACCUUCAAACAUGGCAGGGGCACUUCCACCCAUCAUUUGAAUGAAAGCCAGUCUCACCUGUCUGUCUUUCCAUUCAGCAGGGAAUCACUUCAUGUGUGAAGCAAGCAAAAAAGAUAGACAUGUAAGCGCUUUCUCUGUCUCUUGUAGAAUUUUUAUCUUUUGGCCUUUUCCACUUCCUAGUCUGCAUAUGACCUAAUAUCCUAUUCCUCAUGGCCAACUCUUGAUAACAAUGAGAAAACAAGUCCUGAUAAAUGUGUUAUGUAUUCAUUAAGCAUUUCUAUCUUGUAAGACUUUUUCGUUUUUGUUUUGUUUUUGCAAAAUCAUGACAAUAUCUGCUAUAUUUCAGAUAUUGUUUUAACAAAUCUGUAAUCUGAAUGAAAGCAGGAUUCGUUCUAUAAUUCUCAGUUUGGAUGAGAAAUAAAUGAUAAACAAUGUCCCACUGGAAGAGACCCCUCCAAAACAUCAUGCCAAAGGAGGGAGACCACCAUAUUCAGUGAAAAUAUUUAACACCUUGGACUGUUUCCCAGUGGGAUGCAGACCAGACAAGAAGAACAAUUCAGGCUGCUUAGGAGACUGUCUGGGGAUCUCUGUGAAUGGCAUCUGCACUGGAUAGAUAUUUCUUCCCCUCAGAUUCCUGCUCCUGUGUAUGUGCACGACUUACAGCUGAGUCAUACUUUUCAAGAAUGAAUGUGGGUGUCACAGUCAGUGAUCUGUGAUCUAUUCCUGCUCCUGUGUAUGUGCACGACGUACGAAUGAGUCAUAGUUGUCAAGAAUGAAUGUGGGUGUCAUCAACAGUGAUCUGUGGUCUAUCAUUUCAUAAAUAGAUUGUUCCAAAAGUACUUUAGGCACAACUGAGCACAGAUAGUCUUUGGAUGGCUUUAAUCCAAGCCCAUUUCAAUAUGCCUCUUUUUAUUGUCCACACUUCUUUCUACUACCACUAACUUAAAUAAUUCAUAUAAUCAGCUAGAAGAGUUUUCAAUGAAAACUCAUCUUUGAACACAAGAAAUAAGGACUGAGAAGUGGUGAACAACUUGCAACUGAGGUAUUCUGAAAAUAGUCCUAACAUAAUGUCCCCCAGGUGUAGCCAUAUAUGGUAAUUUGGUAAAUCAACAAUGAAGUCUUAUGCAACAGUGAGAAUCUAAGUAUCAAGCACUAGAUGAGGUACUGGGCAAGAGAAAUACAAAAGAGAACACUGCUUUACCCCAUCCCCAAGGAGAUCUCAGGGACAGAAAUGUCAGCAUCUACCUCAAUACAAUGACAGCUGAGUGACUAUCUCAAGUGAGAACUGAAGAACGUAUCACAGGAGAGCUGAUCUUGGAGAAAGAAGAGGAGUUGGCUUAUUAGAAAAGAGAGCCUGGUCGCGGGUGCCUGUAAUCCCAGCUACUCGGGAGGCUGAGACAGGAGAAGUGAUUGAACUCAUGAGGCUGAGGUUGCAGUUAGCCAAGAUCACACCAUUGCACUCCAGCCUGGGUGACAA
ensembl:lncRNA CFAP418-AS1 CFAP418 antisense RNA 1